rnacentral:rRNA from 1 species
UACAGAGGGUGCAAGCGUUAAUCGGAAUUACUGGGCGUAAAGCGCGCGUAGUCGGUUAUUUAAGUCGGAUGUGAAAUCCCCGGGCUCAACCUGGGAAUUGCAUUCGAUACUGGAUAGCUAGAGUUCGGCAGAGGGAAGCGGAAUUUCUGGUGUAGCGGUGAAAUGCGUUGAUAUCAGAAGGAACAUCAGUGGCGAAAGCGGCUUCCUGGACCAGAACUGACGAUCAGGCUCGAAAGCGUGGGGAGCAAACAGG